UGGGGAAUAUUGGACAAUGGGCGCAAGCCUGAUCCAGCCAUGCCGCGUGAGUGAUGAAGGCCCUAGGGUUGUAAAGCUCUUUCACCGGUGAAGAUAAUGACGGUAACCGGAGAAGAAGCCCCGGCUAACUUCGUGCCAGCAGCCGCGGUAAUACGAAGGGGGCUAGCGUUGUUCGGAUUUACUGGGCGUAAAGCGCACGUAGGCGGACUUUUAAGUCAGGGGUGAAAUCCCGGGGCUCAACCCCGGAACUGCCUUUGAUACUGGAAGUCUUGAGUAUGGUAGAGGUGAGUGGAAUUCCGGGUGUAGAGGUGAAAUUCGUAGAUAUUCGGAGGAACACCAGUGGCGAAGGCGGCUCACUGGACCAUUACUGACGCUAAGGUGCGAAAGCGUGGGGAGCAAACAGG
rnacentral:rRNA from 1 species